rnacentral:rRNA from 1 species
CCCUAGAGGAGCCUGUUCCAUAAUCGAUAAACCCCGAUCUACCUCACCCUCUCUUGCUUAGCCUAUAUACCGCCAUCUUCAGCAAACCCUGAUAAAGGUUACAAAGUGAGCACAAACGCCCUGCCGCCGCAAAAACGUUAGGUCAAGGUGUAGCCCAUGAGAGGGUAAAAAUGGGCUACAUUUUCUACAUCAGAAAACCCCACGAAAACUCUUAUGAAACCUGAGAGUCCAAGGAGGAUUUAGCAGUAAAUUAAGAAUAGAGUGCUUAAUUGAACCAGGUCAUAAAGCGCGUACACACCGCCCGUCACUCCCCUCAAAUAUAUUUAAGGAACAUCCUAACUAAACGCCCUAACAUUUAUAUAGAGGGGAUAAGUCGUAACAUGGUAAGUGUACUGGAAGGUGCACUUGGAC